CUAAGGUGAGAGUGGCGAACGGGUGAGUAACACGUAGGCGACCUGCCCCAAAGAGGGGGAUAACUACUGGAAACGGUAGCUAAUACCCCAUAAUGUCCUCGGGUUUGGAUACCCCUGGAUUAAAGUUCCGACGCUUUGGGAGGGGCCUGCGGCCCAUCAGCUAGUCGGUAGGGUGAUGGCCUACCAAGGCAGAGACGGGUAGGGGGCGUGAGAGCGUGAUCCCCCACACUGGCACUGAUACACGGGCCAG
rnacentral:rRNA from 1 species